rnacentral:sRNA from 1 species
AUCAUCCGUCCACAACAAUCGUUAGCCAAUUAUCGAGUUUCUACGCCUUCCGCUUACUCGCAUGGUGUAGUCAAGCCCCGCCUGUUGAGUUUUUGGCAAGCAUUUCCUCCAAACUCUCCUUCAAACUCUCCGCCAGACAAUGGCUUUCAUGCGAUCAUGAUCGCCAAGCCAAUGAAAUGGUGGCGCUGUUUACCUUUCUACUGGUAUUUUUAUUAGCAUACUUGGUUGAACCCCAUGGCUGUCAUAAUUCCUGAAGCGACCCGCAUAGAAGAAGAGGGAAUGGAAAAAAAGAGAAUCUGAAAAAUUUGGGUAAUCUGACAACAGUGACAAGUGAGGAAAGCGCAAAAUUGAUAUGGCAAAGCAAUGAAAUGGCUGAAAAUGAUUGUCAACGAAUUGACGCCUU